GAUGAACGCUGGCGGCGUGCCUAAUACAUGCAAGUCGAGCGAACAGACGAGGAGCUUGCUCCUCUGACGUUAGCGGCGGACGGGUGAGUAACACGUGGAUAACCUACCUAUAAGACUGGGAUAACUUCGGGAAACCGGAGCUAAUACCGGAUGAUAUAUUGAACCGCAUGGUUCAAUAGUGAAAGACGGUUUUGCUUUCACUUAUAGAUGGAUCCGCGCCGCAUUAGCUAGUUGGUAAGGUAACGGCUUACCAAGGCAACGAUGCGUAGCCGACCUGAGAGGGUGAUCGGCCACACUGGAACUGAGACACGGUCCAGACUCCUACGGGAGGCAGCAGUAGGGAAUCUUCCGCAAUGGGCGAAAGCCUGACGGAGCAACGCCGCGUGAGUGAUGAAGGUCUUCGGAUCGUAAAACUCUGUUAUUAGGGAAGAACAAAUGUGUAAGUAACUAUGCACGUCUUGACGGUACCUAAUCAGAAAGCCACGGCUAACUACGUG
rnacentral:rRNA from 1 species